AGAGUUUGAUCCUGGCUCAGAAUGAACGUUGGCGGCGUGGAUUAGGCAUGCAAGUCGAACGGACCUGGUUUUCGGAUCAGGUUAGUGGCGCAAGGGUGAGUAAUGCGACGGUAACCAACCCCAUGGUUGGGCAUAGCCGCGGGAAACUGCGGGUAAUUCCCAGCGAUGUUCGCGCCGGGCAUCCCGGUGCGAACCAAAGU
rnacentral:rRNA from 1 species